CCUACGGGUGGCUGCAGUGAGGAAUAUUGGUCAAUGGGCGCGAGCCUGAACCAGCCAAGUAGCGUGAAGGAUGACUGCCCUACGGGUUGUAAACUUCUUUUAUAAAGGAAUAAAGUGAGGCACGUGUGCCUUUUUGUAUGUACUUUAUGAAUAAGGAUCGGCUAACUCCGUGCCAGCAGCCGCGGUAAUACGGAGGAUCCGAGCGUUAUCCGGAUUCACUGGGUGUAAAGGGAGCGUAGACGGCCAUGCAAGCCAGGGGUGAAAGCCCGGGGCCCAACCCCGGGACUGCCCUUGGAACUGCAUGGCUGGAGUGCGGGAGGGGCAGGCGGAAUGCCUGGUGUAGCGGUGAAAUGCGUAGAUAUCACGAAGAACUCCGAUUGCGAAGGCAGCUUACUAAACUGCCACUGACAUUGAUGCUCGAAAGUGUGGGUAUCAAACAGGAUUAGAUACCCCAGUAGUC
rnacentral:rRNA from 1 species